CCCACAGCCAGGUUUUAUCGCUUAUUUUCCUUUAUCGCCUCUGGAAGGUAUAUAGUGAAAGAAAACCUCUGUGUAUUUCUGCAAUCGCAAGAGGCACCACACCGUUUACCUGGGGAGAACAGAAAAUGAGGCAGAAGACAUCGAAGUAUAGCCAGCUGGACAACCAGGUUUAAAAACAGCUUCUACCCAUGGGCUGUCAGAAUCCUAAACACAAUCUCAAUCACUCCACGUGCAUAUGGAAAUGUAUGACUAGUUUCUUUCCCCCCGCCCAAAAAAAUUAUUUGUAUAAAGAUUAUUCUCUAUACUA